UAAGCAACUUUCCUUUCUCCA
rnacentral:miRNA from 1 species